rnacentral:rRNA from 1 species
UUCCCGUGACGCAGCUAAACGCGCAUUAAAGUUCCCCCGCCUGGGGGAGUACGGCCCGCAAAGGCUAAAAUUCAAAGGAAAUUGGAGGGGGGACCCCGCACAAGCGGCGGGAGCAUGGCGGAUUAAUUUGGAUGCAACCGCGGAAGAACCCUUAACCAAGGCCUUGACCAUACCACCAGAAACGGGCCCAGAAAAUGGUCAACUCUUUUGGAACACUGGUGAAACAGGUGGUGCAUGGUUGUCGUCAGCCUCGUGUUCGUUGAGAAUGUUGGGUUAAGUCCCCGCAAACGAGGCGCCAACCCUUCCUUCUAUGUUGCCAGGCACGUAAUUGGUGGGAACUUCAUGGGAUACUGCCCCGGGGUCAACUUCGGAGGAAGGUGGGGGAUGACGUCCCCUCCUCAUGCCCCUUAUGUCUUGGGCUUCACGCAUGCUACAAUGGCCGGUACAAAGGGCUGCAAUACCGUGAGGUGGAGCGAAUCCCAAAAAGCGGGUGGGCAGUUCGGAUUGAGGUCUGCAACUCGACCUCAUGAAGUCGGAGUCGCUAGUAAUGAGCAGAUCAGCAACGCUGCGGUAAAUACUUUCCCGGGUCUUGUACACACCCCCCAUCAAGUACACGAA